AAAUGUAAGUCAUCGCUUGGAUCAGUGAUUGAGCACCUGGUGGGAAGGCAGGGCGAACCCAGGGGAACUCAGGUGUAUGCAAUGAAGCUGAGUGACUGGAAGGGUUGGAGCCAGGAUCCAAUCCUUCCCAGACCUCAUUUAAGGGUUAGCAGUGGAGAUAAGGGUAUCUUGCUGAAGAUCCCUGUGUACCUGAGGCCUUCUGAAGAUCUGUAAGGCAAGGGGCGGAGCUAGUACAUAAGAAGAAGUGUCAGCAUAAUGGACUUUGAAGAUAUUUAACUGGAUACUCAGGGGAGCUGAAGAGGAACAUCUUCCAGAGUUAUAGGACUGUAAGCCUGGAAGAACCAGGGAGACCAAUAGGAAAAAGGUACUGGUUGCAAGCAGAAACCUUUUAAAUUUCCUAACUGGAGCUUAAAAGCACAAGUGUUCUGAAUGGGUCCUGCGCGUCUUAGUAUCUGAGUUUGAAGAUCAACAGCAGCUAUUUGUUACUGGGAGGCACAGUGAAGUCAUAACCGGCUCUCUGAUACAGAUCACAAGGGAAGUGGCAGACUGUUGCUUAAUUUCAUCAUGGAACUGACACAAAACUUGUCAAGUACAGGAAAGUGUUGGAAGUAAGCAUGGUAGAACGAUUUCUCUUUAUCAUUGAUCAUGGAAAGGACGUAUAUCAGGCAGUUCAAGUGCCAUAUAUGAAAUAAGCUCCAGCAUCUGGUUUGUUAUCCCUCUGAAGGCAAUGCAGAGGAGCAGCAGAGUUGCUUGUUUUUGUAGUUCACUGGCUGAGGAAAAAUCAGUGACAACUGUUGGUCUGGCAAUAAAUCCCACUCAGCUUGGGCCUUGCACAAUGUAGUCUCCUCAACAAACCCAGGGUACCGCGCAGACACACAUCCUUGUGUUUCACCAGUAAGUGGUGGCAAUAUCGAGGAGAAUCUGAAGAUUUCGGAGCAAGCUGAAGGGCACGUGAAUAAAUCUACCUAGAGAGAAAACUGAACAUCCAGACUGGUCUUCCGUAACAGCUGCGAAAGGUCAAACCAAGGCCCAAAGACUGAAUUCCAUGUCUGAAGCGGGGGCAUUUUCUUUUCCGUAACAGAUUGAGAGCCUAAGCCCAUUGCCAUUAAGAUGAUGGGCUGCUUUUUCAUCAUGACCAGCAGGCCAAGGUUUGCUCUCAAGGUUUUUGGGAACUACAAACCUGUGAACAGUAUGGCAGGGAUGCUGGCUACAUCUGUGUGAAUAAAUUAUCUUGUGAGAUUGCUGAUUUUUAUCAGAGAAGAAGGCAGCAAGACAGUUUUGUCAAGUUAUCUUAAAGUGCAGUUUCCUCUACCACUGAAAAAUUAUUUUGAAAAUCAUUUUGGAUUACUAGAAAAAUACAGUUAUCUGGAACAUAUCUCAUUUAGCUCUUUUAACCCCUUAAAAAUGAAGAGAUAUAUAUGCUUAUAUCUGAGUACUUUUGAAAAUCUUUUGUUACUUCUAAUGUUCUCUUCUCUUACGUUUGUCACUAUAAGAAAUUAAUAUCAAAUAUGGUCAACUUGCUGUUUUAUUCUUCUUUUCCCACCCUUCUCUUCAAACCUCCCCAGUUUCACCUGAAAUUGUUCAACUCUUCUACUCCUGGCUCUUUUGUGAAUAUUUAGUCAUAUAUCAAAUACUGACUGACUUAAACAAUUGUGACAGUCCAAGUAAGUGUGCGUGCCCAAAUGUUGAAGCCUGGAAAAAACAAGCUAGACAAAUAAACAGUCCUUG
ensembl:lncRNA